AGAUGUUUCUGUCUUGGGGAACUUCCUUUCUCUUCUUGCCACUGCACCAGGUGCUGACUACACUUCCUUACCACAGGGCAAGUGACAUCUGAAGAGGCUGACAGACUUCAGAGCUGGGUAAGGCAACCAGAAUACCCCCUGAACUGCCUCUGCCUGUUCUGUGAUGUCACCUGACCUCUGCUCUGUUUACAUAUAGCUGCUUGUGACAUCAUCUGGGCAUGUAUGGUAUCUGUAUCUAUGUCAAGACCUGGGCUUUGCUCCACUUGGAGUCAGCUGAUUGGCAGGAGGGCAUCUGAAAUUGAGAGGAGGUUUCAGGCCGUUUACCCAGCCCUUUAGUGGGGAUCUGUCCGGGACUCUGCAGUCUGAACCUGCAACUGUAAAAGGCAUGGUCCCUGGAAACAACCCUGGUGCUGUCCAGCAGCGUGUUGAACAGGAAGUUGUGUGUGCGAAUACAAGGUUCCAUAAAAUUCCUGAUGGAGAUCGUGGAGUGAAAAGAAAUUAUCACAGAAUUCCAACAAGGCUUGAAGGCAGAAUUAUCUUUAGAAAACUAAGCCUGUAUUAAUAAAAAAAACAUAAUAUGAAAAUAUAAUUUA
rnacentral:lncRNA from 1 species